ACUAGGAUUGCUCCUGGCAGGAAGGUGCAAACACAGCCAAGAGAACGGGCUUGGAAAAAUUAGCGGGGAAAGAAGGCCCUGUUUUGCUUGAUUCUAAUCUGGCAGUGUAACGAGGCAGAAGAGGUGUAGAAUAAAUGGGAGAUAUUGUUCUUUCGGGUUCAUUAUCGCCAAUGAAAUACCACUACUCUUAAUGUUUCCUUACUUACCUAAUUAAGUGGAACGUGUAUCAUUACUUAGCCAUUAUACGGACAUUGAUCAAAGUACUAAAGAGUUUUUGAACAAAUUUUAAUGACAUUGUUUGGCUUUUCGAUGCUUAUUCAAUCAAUAUUUAGAAUUUGGUAUAACUCCAAAUACUCAGAAAUGAUCCAAUUCAAUAACAUUGCCAGGCAGGGAGUUUGACUGUGGCGGUACAUCUCUCAAAUAAUAAAGCUAUCCCAAGGCCAGCUCACUGCGGACAGAAACCACACAUAGAGCAAAAGGCAAAAGCUGAAUUGAUCUCUUUGUUCGGUACACACAUGAAUAACAAAAGUUCGGCCUAUCGAUCCUUUUGGUUUAAGAAGUUUUUAAGAGUUUUCACCACAGGGAUAACUGGCUUGUGACGGCCAAGCUUUCAUAGCGACGUCGCUUUGCUAUCAUUGCGAAGCAAAAAUCCCCAAGCGUUGGAUUUUUCACAGACGCAAGGGAACAUGGGCUGAGUUUAGACCGUCCUGAGACAGGUUAGUUUUACCCUAUUAAUGAAAAUAUAUUGUUUCGACAGCAAUCCUGUGUAGUACAGAAGGAACAGCAGUUAUGGACCAAAGGCACAAUACUUGUUCGAGCGACAGUGGUAUGACGCCACGUCCGUUGGAUUACUCCUGAACGCCUUUAAAG
rfam:Glossina morsitans morsitans, isolate Yale, WGS project CCAG01000000 data, contig: ctg10009986